rnacentral:rRNA from 1 species
CCUACGGGAGGCAGCAGUGAGGAAUAUUGGUCAAUGGACGAGAGUCUGAACCAGCCAAGUAGCGUGAAGGAUGACUGCCCUAUGGGUUGUAAACUUCUUUUAUAUGGGAAUAAAAUGUUCCACGUGUGGGAUUUUGUAUGUACCAUAUGAAUAAGGAUCGGCUAACUCCGUGCCAGCAGCCGCGGUAAUACGGAGGAUCCGAGCGUUAUCCGGAUUUAUUGGGUUUAAAGGGAGCGUAGGUGGUUGGUUAAGUCAGUGGUGAAAGUUUGCGGCUCAACCGCAGAAUUGCAGUUGAAACUGGCAGGCUAGAGCAUAGUAGAGGUAGGCGGAAUGUAUGGUGUAGCGGUGAAAUGCUUAGAGAUCAUACAGAACACCGAUUGCGAAGGCAGCUCACUAAGCUACUUCUGACGUUGAGGCACGAAAGUGUGGGUAGCAAACAGGAUUAGAUACCCGUGUAGUC